rnacentral:misc_RNA from 1 species
AACGCACAUUGCACCCUUUGGUAUUCCGAAGGGUACACCUGUUCGAGCGUCAUUAAAUUCUUCAAGCUUAUGCUUGGUAUUGGUUAAAGUCCAUUUUGGACUCUCCCAUAACUUAUGAAGACAAACUUUUUUAACUUUAAGCGUAACAAGAAAACUUCAUCGUUUGUUGUUAAAAAGUUUCUUGUCUUUUAAAAAAGACUCUUUAAACUUGACCUCGGAUCAGGUGAGGAUACCCGCUGAACUUAA